AAGCAUAUCAAUAAGCGGAGGAAAAGAAACCAACAGGGAUUGCCUCAGUAACGGCGAGUGAAGCGGCAACAGCUCAAAUUUGAAAUCUGGCCUCUUUGGGGUCCGAGUUGUAAUUUGUAGAGGAUGUUUCGGGCACCGCUCCGGUUUAAAUUUCUUGGAACAGAAUGUCAAAGAGGGUGAGAACCCCGUCUUGGACCGGCAGUAGGGCCCAUGUGAAACUCCUUCGACGAGUCGAGUUGUUUGGGAAUGCAGCUCAAAAUGGGUGGUAAAUUUCAUCUAAAGCUAAAUAUUGGCCAGAGACCGAUAGCGCACAAGUAGAGUGAUCGAAAGAUGAAAAGCACUUUGAAAAGAGAGUUAAACAGUACGUGAAAUUGUUGAAAGGGAAGCGCUUGCAACCAGACUUGCGCGCGGCGGUUCCCCCUUCCUUUUGGUUGGGUUAUUCCGCCGUGUCCAGGCCAACAUCGGUUCUGGGGGUCGGUUAAAGGCCUGGGGAAUGUAUCUACCCUUCGGGCGUAGACUUAUAGCCCCGGGUGUCAUGCGACCUCCCGGGACCGAGGAACGCGCUUCGGCUCGGAUGUUGGCGUAAUGGUUGUCAGCGACCCGUCUUGAAACACGGACCAAGGAGUCUAACAUCUAUGCGAGUGUUUGGGUGUCAAACCCGGAACGCGGAAUGAAAGUGAACGGAGGUAGGAAGCUUCGGCUGCACUAUCGACCGAUCCUGAUGUCUUCGGAUGGAUUUGAGUAAGAGCAUAGCUGUUGGGACCCGAAAGAUGGUGAACUAUGCCUGAAUAGGGUGAAGCCAGAGGAAACUCUGGUGGAGGCUCGCAGCGGUUCUGACGUGCAAAUCGAUCGUCAAAUUUGGGUAUAGGGGCGAAAGACUAAUCGAACCAUCUGGUAGCUGGUUCCUGCCGA
rnacentral:rRNA from 1 species